GAAGGGGAGUGGAGAGGAGGGAAGUGGGUGGAAGGGGUAGCAGCUGCAGCCCUCAGCGUCCAGCUAUGGGUUAGGUUGCCAGGUUUGUGGUUACCUGCCCUGGCUCAUGCACACGCAGGACCUCAGACUUUAUGGUCCCAGUGCCCAUGUGCCCAGGACAAGGCCUCCACUUCCACAGGCAAAUCCACCCAGUUCCUGACAUUCCCGACAUGUGCAUGCAGAUGAGAUCACUGGCCUUUCAUGAGCCAGGCCCUGUCUGGCCCCAAGCUGCUCUGGCCCAUGGGAACCCUUGGCUUCAGGAUUCAGAGUGAGCAAAGGAACCUGAGCAUAUGGACCUAAGCAGCCAGUAACACCGGGACCCCCAGCCCAUGCCCGAGGGGAGACAGAGACCCACCUGCCAGACUCCAGGCUGCUCCUGGACCUCAGAGGCCCCAGGUGGCUGAGUUCAAGCCCAGCUACAGAAUAACUCCAGUUUGGCCUCCGGUCACAACUGAGACUUCAGGGAUCCAGUGACGCUGUGAUUCUCCAGGACAAGAAACAUCCUGGGAGAACAAACAUCUGCUCAGUUCCUCAUUGUUCUUGGACUGAUUAACAUCUUGUUUGCCGGCGAUGUACUGAACUCUCUGCAAGCCUUCCGUUACACCUUGUUUAUCCCAAUGUGAACUAUUGAACUCUCUGCAAGUCAUCUGUUACAUUUGUUUCUCCCGAUGUACUGAAUAAAAGGUGUGGUAAGCUGGGGGCUUUUGUCUUUGCUGCCCAGAGCAGCACUGAUCAGACCCAAAGCUCAGCUUCUUCUCGGUCUCAUUUUUCUACCUUUCCUGUAAUUCGCCGUGUGCUGCCGUGGCUCGCAGGAGACCAGGACUAACUGCAGAGGUUCUGCGCACAUCUUGUGGCAGUGUCGCGCGGAGCCCCAUUGGCCAGGGAGGCGCCUGAGCCGCGCGGGAGGAGCCUCAGUCUCUG
ensembl:lncRNA